rnacentral:rRNA from 1 species
GAUGAACGCUAGCUACAGGCUUAACACAUGCAAGUCGAGGGGAAACGACAUCGCAAGCUUGCUUUUGAUGGGCGUCGACCGGCGCACGGGUGAGUAACGCGUAUCCAACCUGCCCACCACUUGGGGAUAACCUUGCGAAAGUAAGACUAAUACCCAAUGAUAUCUCUAGAAGACAUCUGAAAGAGAUUAAAGAUUUAUCGGUGAUGGAUGGGGAUGCGUCUGAUUAGCUUGUUGGCGGGGUAACGGCCCACCAAGGCAACGAUCAGUAGGGGUUCUGAGAGGAAGGUCCCCCACAUUGGAACUGAGACACGGUCCAAACUCCUACGGGAGGCAGCAGUGAGGAAUAUUGGUCAAUGGACGAGAGUCUGAACCAGCCAAGUAGCGUGCAGGAAGACGGCCCUAUGGGUUGUAAACUGCUUUUAUAAGGGAAUAAAGUGAGUCUCGUGAGACUUUUUGCAUGUACCUUAUGAAUAAGGACCGGCUAAUUCCGUG